rnacentral:rRNA from 1 species
AUUGAACGCUGGCGGCAUGCCUUACACAUGCAAGUCGAACGGCAGCACGGGUGCUUGCACCUGGUGGCGAGUGGCGAACGGGUGAGUAAUACAUCGGAACAUGUCCUGUAGUGGGGGAUAGCCCGGCGAAAGCCGGAUUAAUACCGCAUACGAUCUACGGAUGAAAGCGGGGGACCUUCGGGCCUCGCGCUAUAGGGUUGGCCGAUGGCUGAUUAGCUAGUUGGUGGGGUAAAGGCCUACCAAGGCGACGAUCAGUAGCUGGUCUGAGAGGACGACCAGCCACACUGGGACUGAGAUACGGCCCAGACUCCUACGGGAGGCAGCAGUGGGGAAUUUUGGACAAUGGGCGAAAGCCUGAUCCAGCAAUGCCGCGUGUGUGAAGAAGGCCUUCGGGUUGUAAAGCACUUUUGUCCGGAAAGAAAUCCUUGGCCCUAAUACGGUCGGGGGAUGACGGUACCGGAAGAAUAAGCACCGGCUAACUACGUG